AGCAUCAAAGUUGGAGUGCCUUAAGUAGGUCUCUCUGGCAUUCCUUUCAUCAUUAAUUGUGUCUGCUAUAUAUGAUGUUGGAUAUACCCUGCAUGAGUUUAUGAUUUGGAGCAAGUCCAUAUUUAGUACUUGAGAUUGUACCUGAUAUGAUUUCGGUUCUUGAUAUGGAAAAGUUUAAACAUUUUGAAUCCAUUGAAUUUUUGUAAUCAAAUUCUUUUAACUUUCCUUCAUAUAUAGAGCUUACUGGUGUUUUAGCUUAGAGUUUGAAACUUCCCCCCUUCAGAUAUAUCUUUCAAUCUGAAUGGUAUCGAUGGUUUUGUUGGUUAGGGUGAUAUAAGAAGAUCAUAAGCCAAAAAGCGUACCAGUUCUGCCAUGGAUAUGAACCCCAAUUGAUGUCAAUGCCUUGGAAAAAAACCCCUCUCUAUUCUGCCUUGACUUGACCCCAGGUUGGUCUGAAAGACCUCAAAACAAAACCAAAAAAAAAAAAAAAACAA